CCCCGCGGUCUCUAUGCAAGCGGGCGGCGGUGCGGGGCCGUCCCGCCCGGAGAGUUGCACAUGGAACUGGGACUGUGACCCGAUCGGUGCUGCCAGGCACGGGGCGCCGGGCAGCGCCGCCGAUAUCCCUGGAAUAAUGCUCUAUUUUGUUUACCUGCUGUAUCGGAUGGGAGUUUGCAGGAGAGUGGUAGCGUGGUGGUUUUUCUCCUGGUUUUGUUUGUUUUGUUUUUUGUUUUGUUUUUUUUUUUUUCUUAAUCAGCUGUGAAAAUGUUACAAAUCUGCACAAUUUUUUAGGUGUGCGUGUGUGUGUGAUUUCGUUGUGGUUUUGGUUUUUCCUUUGGCGGGGAGGGGGGGCGGUGGUGCUUUUUGUGCCGAGGGGUUUUGGGUUUGGGUUGGCAAUACCUGAUUUUGAUGACUAACUCUCUCAAGUGCAAAGACUUCCCAUGAGCGAUGCAGGGCCAAGAGCAGCCCUGUGUCUGUAGAGUGCCUUCAAAACUCAGCUGUUCCAGCCGGUGCCAACCUGUGAAAGCUCCACAGAAUCCCAUUAUCUACUACUCCAAAAACUACUUAACAGUUUCCUUGCAGUAAUCACACCGAGCAAGCCAGGACAAAAGGGCCUAUUGUUAGUGGAAUUUAUUUCUUACUUCCAUCUGAGCCUUUUAACUGUUAUUUCCAUGUCUUGCAAGUUCGGGCUUCAUUUACUUCAAAUUUACAAGAAUUUAGCCUUUUGGGAUUUUGGGGGUGAGGGCUUUUUUUUUUUUUUGGUUCUCUUUCCCUUUGAUUUUGUCGUGGGAUGUGCCUCCAGUCAGCAAAGAAGGAAAUCUUAUCGUUGUGAUGUACCAAGAAAAUUCUAACAACUGUCAUUUUAAUUGCGGACAUGCAUUGAAGAGAUGUCUAUCCAUUUUAAGAAUUUUAAUACAGAUGCUGUUUUUUAGAAAACAACUUUGUGCAUUGUUAUGUAUCACAUGAAACACUGACUUUCACACAGGCUCUUAAUCCAGAUUUAUAUCUCAAUAGCCGUGGAAGCUGGAGGGGUCGAUUUAGCUAAGAGCAAUGGUUAAAAAAGGCAAACCACAAGAUUGCUGUUUUACCUAAUAUUUAGUCAUUUUUGAUGCAGGUUUUUGCUUGUGUUCAGGCCCUGGCCCAGGGUGAUGCCAAGCUGUGAGAAGAAGGCUGUGCUCAGAGGCAGCUUUAAGCAGAGGGGCUGGGGCGGGAGGAGACCUGUGCCUACCAUCAGCUGGAAGAUCCAAGGAGCUUGUUUACCUGCUUCCUUCCUCUCUUUGCUCCUUCUUUAAAGGUCUGCACACAAAACCUGCAACACUGUUUUUCCUUCCCCCCCAUAUCCCAAGAAGUCUUGAAAUUAUCUUACAUCUCAAAAACAAGGGUUGAGCGAUGAUGUGUAAUGUAAAGGGGUUUUUAAUCCGGCCAACUGAAAAGUAACUGCCAUGAUUCCUCUGGGAAUCUGGUAAUUUCUCCUAUUUUAGGUGGGAAAACUUCGUGCCUCAGCCCUGGAAAAUGAGUGUGUAGUGUCAGUUUGAUGCUACCUUUUGAAAUCCUGCUGACUGAAAUGAAAUUGCCAUUUGUGCUUUAGUCAGACUUGGAUACUUCUUGUAGCGUCAAGUAUCUACUGAAAAUUUGUAGCAGGCUGUGUGCUGUUGGGGUGUUUCUGCUCCUGAGCUCAGGUGUGUCCUUCCAGCAGGGACCAGUCAGUGGGGCUGUGUCAGUCUGGGUGAUAGCGAAGAACAGAGAGGGCUGGAGAAGCAGCCCUAGUGCUGGCUCCCUCGCUGCUGCCUGGGCUCUCCCUCUAACACACACGUUAAUUUACCCCCGUUUUUAAGUGGAAAUUGAAAACCGCGUCGCAGCUCAUCCUCCAGAAAUUCCUAAAAGUUCAUUAGAAGCCAGGGGACUCCCAUGCUGGGAGGACAGGGGACUAGCACUGACAGAAGGGAUUCCUUUUAACCCAAGUACUGCAUUGAAAGCUAAGAAAGCUUGACUGCUGCCACAAUCUGCAGCUUACAAACUGCAUGUCUGAUGUUAAAAAGAAGUAAAUUUACAUCUCAGUUACUGCCAUGGUUCAAUUUUGCCUUAAAUUCAAUUGGAAUGUGCAGUUUUAGCACCCAGCAGGCCUCGCUCUAGAUCAGUGCACUGGCAGCAGCUUGCUCUGGUUGAUAAAAGCAGGUAUUUAUUUAUUUAUUGUGCCAGGAGCCAGCAGAUCCCUCACAUUCCCCAGUGCCUCUUUCCCCACUGCCUGAGCUGUGCUUGAGGAAUAAAGCAAAAGUGGGUGUAGCACACAGAGUCCAGCUUUGCUCAGCCUGGCAGAGGCAGCCAGCUGAGCUCUGUGCUGUGCUGGGCCUUUCUGUGGUACAUUCUAGUUCUGGCCAAAAAGGUGUAUUUGUUAAACAGUGAAGCAUUCAUUUAAGCAGCCAUGGCACUGGUCUGAUCAGGGUUUUGAAUGUGUUUAGGCAUUCCAUGUUCUCUGUGACUGGUGAGGACAGUACAAAGUGUAGAGCUCAGUAGUCUGAUCUUCCAAAUACUCUGAAGUGUUUUGGUGCUUGUUAAACAUAGGCCUUGUCUAUAAAAAGUCUGAAAAAAAUCAUCCUGCUUUAACUUGACUGAGUGAUGAAAGCUAUAUUAGCUUCGACACUUGAGGGAAAUGUUGUAUCAAUAUAAAGGUACUCUUUAUUCCUUUUCCCUGUGGGAAUAUGUUACACCCGUGUCAAUACAGAGGUGGUAUAUCACUCUUUUCACAGUGAGACUUGCAAAUAUUUACUUGUUUUGGAAGAAAAAUUACAUUCCCGGCCAAAAUACUUCCUGACAUUGCAGAAAUUGUGUAAACAAGGCCUUGGUUUAAGGCUGGUCUUGUGACCACAUAUUUUUCUGUAUAUAAUGAUUGUAUUUUUAAAACUCCAAGCUUGUUCUAUUGCAAGAAAGCGUGUCUGGCAUCCCGGUGUCCGUGACUGUAAUGUGUGCUCAGCCCCAGGCCCAAAGCAAUGUGCUUCUGCUCGACACGAUGCUCAGGAUUUGCUGAUCUGAUGGUGCUGGAGCUGAUGUGGAACUGUGGGAUCCUGGUGGUUCUGCUUCUCUCAAAAGAAUGUACGACAAGUUGUUUGCAAAGGGCAUUUUAAAUAAAGGGCAGCUGGCUCUUUAUGACUUCCUCA